rnacentral:rRNA from 1 species
CCCUUAGAUGUUCUGGGCCGCACGCGCGCUACACUGACGAAGUCAGCGAGCAUGUCCUACGCCGACAGGUGCGGGGAAUCUUGUCAAACUUCGUCGUGAUGGGGAUUGAUUAUUGAAAUUCUUGAUCAUCAACGAGGAAUUCCUAGUAAGCGCAAGUCAGCAGCUUGCGUUGAUUACGUCCCUGCCCUUUGUACACACCGCCCGUCGCUACUACCGAUUGAAUGGUUUAGUGAGAUCUUCGGAUUGGCGCCACUGCGGCUCAGCAAUAGGCUCGGUGGAUGCCGAAAAGUUGAUCAAACUUGAUCAUUUAGAGGAAGUAAAAGUCGUAACA